rnacentral:rRNA from 1 species
UACGUAGGGUGCGAGCGUUGUCCGGAAUUAUUGGGCGUAAAGAGCUCGUAGGCGGUUUGUCGCGUCUGCUGAUGAAAACCCGAGGCUCAACCUCGGGCCUGCAGUGGGUACGGGCAGACUAGAGUGCGGGUAGGGGAGAUUGGAAUUCCUGGUGUAGCGGUGGAAUGCGCAGAUAUCAGGAGGAACACCAAUGGCGAAGGCAGAUCUCUGGGCCGUAACUGACGCUGAGGAGCGAAAGCAUGGGGAGCGAACAGG